rnacentral:rRNA from 1 species
UGCCUAUAGAACUCUAAUUAUAGGUUCCUCCUGCCCAGUGAUUUAAUUAUUAAACGGCCGCGGUAUACUGACCGUGCUAAGGUAGCGCAAUUACUUGCCCUUUAAUUGAGGGCCCGUACGAAUGGACCCACGAGAGCCCACCUGUCUCACUUCCGUUAAAGAAACUUAACCUCUAGGUGAAAAGGCCUACAUUAAUUAAAAAGACAAGAAGACCCUGUAGAGCUUAACCCCUAAAAGCCCUAGAAUAAAUUAUAUAUAAUUACAAUUCUAUCCUCUUAAUAAAUGGUUUUGCUGGGGCAGCAGAUGACCAACUAAAGCGCACAUCAUAAAACCCAAAACUGAUUAAUAUAUCUAGCUAAUGACCCAAUCACAUUAACAAAAUUCUUUCUACAUUAAUAAUUAACCUAAAGAUAAAGCUACCUCAGGGAUAACAGACCAAUCCUCCCUAAGAGUCCACAUUGACAGGAGGGUUUGGCACCUCGAUGUUGGCUCAGGGCAUGCCCUAGCGUGCAGCAGCGCUUCCGGCAAGUAUGUUCUCCUUUUAAACCCCU